GAUUAACGCUAGCGGCAGGCCUAAUACAUGCAAGUCGAGGGGCAGCAGGGUGUAGCAAUACAUCGCUGGCGACCGGCGCACGGGUGCGUAACACGUAUGCAACCUACCUUUAACUGGGGAAUAGCCCUCCGAAAGGAGGAUUAACACCGCAUAACAUCACGAGACGGCAUCGCCUUGUGAUCAAACCUCCGGGGGUUAAAGAUGGGCAUGCGUCCGAUUAGCUAGUUGGCGGGGUAACGGCCCACCAAGGCGACGAUCGGUAGGGGGUCUGAGAGGAUGAUCCCCCACACUGGUACUGAGACACGGACCAGACUCCUACGGGAGGCAGCAGUAAGGAAUAUUGGACAAUGGUCGCAAGACUGAUCCAGCCAUGCCGCGUGCAGGAUGAACGAUCUAUGAUCUGUAAACUGCUUUUGUUCGGGAAUAAACCCCUUCACGUGUGGAGGGCUGAAUGUACCGAAAGAAUAAGGGUCGGCUAACUUCGUGCCAGCAGC
rnacentral:rRNA from 1 species